UCUGCCGCUAAAUGGGUUGCAGGUGUGGCUGCUGUGUCACAUGUGUUGGGACGUGGCAGAGAGAAGUGAGAGGCUGUGCCUACCCUCAGCGUUCUGACCCAUGAACAUCUGAAUGCUUAGUAGCUUAACAUU
ensembl:snoRNA